rnacentral:rRNA from 1 species
CCACGGGAGUCAGCAGUGGGGAAUAUUGCACAAUGGGGGAAACCCUGAUGCAGCGACGCCGCGUGAGUGAAGCAGUAAUUCGUUAUGUAACGCUCUAUCAGCAGGGAAGAACAUGCCGGUACCUGAGUCAGAAGCCCCGGCUAACUACGUGCCAGCAGCCGGGGUAAUCCGUAGGGGGCAAGCGUUAUCCGGAUUUACUGGGUGUAAAGGGAGCGUAGACGGCAGUGCAAGUCUGGAGUGAAAGGCGGGGGCUCAACCCCCGGACUGCUCUGGAACCUGUACGGCUGGAGUGCAGGAGAGGUAAGUGGAAUGCCUAGUGUAGCGGUGAAAGGCGUAGAUAUUAGGAGGAACACCAGUGGCGAAGGCAGCUUACUGGACUGUAACUGACGUUGAGGCUCGAAAGCGUGGGGAGCGAACAGGAUUAGAUACCCCGGUAGUC